rnacentral:rRNA from 1 species
AUGUUUUCCUCUCAAUCUUUGAGUCGUGUCAACAAUAUCCGUACUGCCCUGAUCAAUGCACAGAAGGGAAACCAAUCGGUUGUUGCGUACUACGCUCAUAUGCGUGGUCUUGCCGAUGAACUCGCGGCGGCAGGCAAGCCUAUCCAAGACGAUGAGCUCAUCUCCUACCUGUUACACGGGCUGGACAUGGACUACCAGCCCCUUCUCUCCGCCCUCGACGCCCGCGUCACUCCGGUCUCCCUCGACGAGUUGUAUGCCAUGCUGAGCAAUUUUGAUCAGCGCGUGGCCCAGUUUCACAGCACCGGAGGCGGCUUCAAGUCCUCGGCCAACACGGCGACUCGCGGGUGCGGCGGGUACUCUUCCCGUCCUCGCAGUCCUCCUCGACACAAGGGCAAGCAGGGCGGUGGCGGCUCCAGCAACUCCGGCUCACGUGGCGGACGCCCCAACUUCACCAACAACAGGGGCCGUCGCGGCGGGGGCGGUAGCAACGGCGGCUCAGGCAGAGCUCGACCUGAUGCCGUGUGUUGCCAGAUCUGCGGCAAGCCUGGCCACUCCGCCAAGGACUGCUGGUAUCGAUUUGAUGAAGAUGAAGCCUCCUCUGAUGAAGAUGAUAAGGUUGUUGCCGCCGCCGAUGGGUCAUACGGUGUCGAUACCAAUUGGUAUCUUGACAGUGGCGCCACCAACCAUCUCACAGGGGAACUUGAGAAGGUGACCCUUCAUGAGAAAUACCAUGGAAAGGAUCAAAUCCACACAGCAAGUGGUGCAGGUAUGAAAAUAAGUCACAUAGGUCAUUUGGUUAUACGUACCCCUUCUCGCAAGAUUCAUCUUUGA